UGCAGUCGAACGAUACUCAGUAGCUUGCUAUUGAGGAAAGUGGCGCACGGGUGCGUAACGCGUAUGCAACCUACCUUAAUCAGGGGGAUAGCCCGAAGAAAUUCGGAUUAACACCGCAUAAAAUCACAGUACAGCAUUGUACAAUGAUCAAAUAUUUAUAGGAUUAAGAUGGGCAUGCGUGACAUUAGUUAGUUGGCGGGGUAACGGCCCACCAAGACCACGAUGUCUAGGGGAUCUGAGAGGAUGACCCCCCACACUGGUACUGAGACACGGACCAGACUCCUACGGGAGGCAGCAGUAAGGAAUAUUGGUCAAUGGAGGCAACUCUGAACCAGCCAUGCCGCGUGCAGGAAGACAGCCCUCUGGGUCGUAAACUGCUUUUAUUCGGGAAUAAACCACAUUACGUGUAGUGUGCUGAAUGUACCGAAGGAAUAAGGAUCGGCUAACUCCGUGCCAGCAGCCGCGGUAAUACGGAGGAUCCAAGCGUUAUCCGGAUUUAUUGGGUUUAAAGGGUGCGUAGGCGGCUUUUUAAGUCAGGGGUGAAAGACGGUGGCUCAACCAUCGCAGUGCCCUUGAUACUGAAGAGCUUGAAUGAAUUAGAGGUAGGCGGAAUGUGACAAGUAGCGGUGAAAUGCAUAGAUAUGUCACAGAACACCGAUUGCGAAGGCAGCUUACUAUGAUUUUAUUGACGCUGAGGCACGAAAGCGUGGGGAUCAAACAGGAUUAGAUACCCUGGUAGUCCACGCCCUAAACGAUGAAUACUCGCUGUUAGCGAUACACAGUUAGCGGCUAAGCGAAAGCGUUAAGUAUUCCACCUGGGGAGUACGGUCGCAAGAUUGAAACUCAAAGGAAUUGACGGGGGCCCGCACAAGCGGAGGAGCAUGUGGUUUAAUUCGAUGAUACGCGAGGAACCUUACCCGGGCUUGAAAGUUAGUGAAUCAUUUAGAGAUAGAUGAGUCCGCAAGGACACGAAACUAGGUGCUGCAUGGCUGUCGUCAGCUCGUGCCGUGAGGUGUUGGGUUAAGUCCCGCAACGAGCGCAACCCCUAUGUUUAGUUGCCAGCACGUAAUGGUGGGGACUCUAAACAGACUGCCUGUGCAAACAGAGAGGAAGGAGGGGACGACGUCAAGUCAUCAUGGCCCUUACGUCCGGGGCUACACACGUGCUACAAUGGAUGGUACAGAGGGCAGCAAGCUGGUAACAGCAAGCAAAUCUCCAAAAGCCAUUCACAGUUCGGAUAGAGGUCUGCAACUCGACCUCUUGAAGUUGGAUUCGCUAGUAAUCGUAUAUCAGCAAUGAUACGGUGAAUACGUUCCCGGGCCUUGUACACACCGCCCGUCAAGCCAUGGGAAAGUUGGGGGUAACCUAAAAGUAAUGUAAACCGCAAGGAGC
rnacentral:rRNA from 1 species